UGGGGAAUUUUGGGACAAUGGGCGAAAGCCUGAUCCAGCAAUGCCGCGUGUGUGAAGAAGGCCUUCGGGUUGUAAAGCACUUUUGUCCGGAAAGAAAUCCUUGGCUCUAAUACAGUCGGGGGAUGACGGUACCGGAAGAAUAAGCACCGGCUAACUACGUGCCAGCAGCCGCGGUAAUACGUAGGGUGCAAGCGUUAAUCGGAAUUACUGGGCGUAAAGCGUGCGCAGGCGGUUUGCUAAGACCGAUGUGAAAUCCCCGGGCUCAACCGUGGGAACUGCAUUGGUGACUGGCAGGCUAGAGUAUGGCAGAGGGGGGCUAGAAUUCCACGUGUAGCAGUGAAAUGCGUAGAGAUGUGGA
rnacentral:rRNA from 1 species